rnacentral:lncRNA from 1 species
AUGCCUCGUAGAAGAAUGGCUGCUCCAACUCCAUGUCCAGAAGAAGCUUCUCUACAAAGAAGCCAGCAACUAAGAGAACUCUAUGAAUCGUUAUCGGCCGGAGAGACAAAUCCACCAACUCGUCGACCAUGUGCUUCUUUGUCGCCGGAAGACUUAACAGAAUCAGAAUGGUUUUAUUUGAUGUGUGUCUCUUUCUCAUUUCCUCCUGGUGUCGGGAAGAAGAUGAUGAUGAAAUAUUGGAGACGACUUGAUGAAGCAAGCUCUUGA